rnacentral:rRNA from 1 species
CUGCUGCCUUCCGUAGGAGUUUGGGCCGUGUCUCAGUCCCAAUGUGGCCGUCCACCCUCUCAGGCCGGCUACUGAUCGUCGCCUUGGUGGGCCGUUACCCCGCCAACGAGCUAAUCAGACGCGGGUCCAUCUUACACCACCGGAGUUUUUCACACAAAUCCAUGCGGCUUCGUGCGCUUAUGCGGUAUUAGCACCUAUUUCUAAGUGUUAUCCCCCAGUGUAAGGCAGGUUACCCACGCGUUACUCACCCGUCCGCCACUAAGA